AGACUUAUAGUUUAAUGGUAGAGCAUACGGCUCAUGACCGUCUAUUUGUUGGGGUUCAAGUCCCUCUAUGUCUA
rnacentral:tRNA from 1 species